rnacentral:rRNA from 1 species
GUGGCGCACGGGUGAGUAACACGUGGGUAACCUGCCCUUGAAUUUGGGAUAACUUCGCGAAAGCGUUGCUAAUACCAGAUAUAGUUGCAUUUACUUCGGUAUUUGUAAUGAAAGGUGACCUCUUCAUGAAAGUUGCCGUUUAAGGAGGGGCUCGCGUACCAUUAGCUUGUUGGUGGGGUAAUGGCCUACCAAGGCUACGAUGGUUAGCUGGUCUGAGAGGAUGAUCAGCCACACUGGAACUGAAACACGGUCCAGACUCCUACGGGAGGCAGCAGUGAGGAAUUUUGCGCAAUGGGGGAAACCCUGACGCAGCAACGCCGCGUGAGUGAAGAAGGCUUUCGGGUCGUAAAGCUCUGUCAGAUGGGAAAAAAGUUUAUUAGUGAAUAGCUAGUGAAUCUGAUGGUACCAUCAGAGGAAGCACCGGCUAACUCCGUGCCAGCAGCCGCGGUAUACGGAGGGUGCGAGCGUUGUUCGGAAUUACUGGGCGUAAAGGGCGUGUAGGCGGUUUGGUAAGUCAGAUGUGAAAGCCCUGGGCUUAACCCAGGAAGUGCAUUUGAUACUGCCAUUCUUGAGUAUGGGAGAGGAGAGUGGAAUUCCCAGUGUAGAGGUGAAAUUCGUAGAUAUUGGGAGGAACACCCGUGGCGAAGGCGACUCUCUGGACCAAUACUGACGCUGAGACGCGAAAGCGUGGGGAGCAAACAGGAUUAGAUACCCUGGUAGUCCACGCCGUAAACGAUGAGAACUAGGUGUAGCGGGUAUUGACCCCUGCUGUGCCGAAGUUAACGCAUUAAGUUCUCCGCCUGGGGAGUACGGCCGCAAGGCUAAAACUCAAAGGAAUUGACGGGGACCCGCACAAGCGGUGGAGCAUGUGGUUUAAUUCGACGCAACGCGAAGAACCUUACCUGGAUUUGACAUCCUCUGACCCCCAUGGAAACAUGGUUUUUUAUGCUUGCAAAAACAGAGUGACAGGUGCUGCAUGGCUGUCGUCAGCUCGUGUCGUGAGAUGUUUGGUUAAGUCCAGCAACGAGCGCAACCCCUGUUUUUAGUUGCCAUUAUUAAGUUGGGCACUCUAGAAAUACUGCCUCGGUUAACGGGGAGGAAGGUGGGGAUGACGUCAAGUCCUCAUGGCCUUUAUAUCCAGGGCUACACACGUGCUACAAUGGGCUGUACAAAGAGUUGCCACUUCGCAAGAAGGAGCUAAUCUCAAAAAACAGUUCUCAGUUCGGAUUGGAGUCUGCAACUCGACUUCAUGAAGUUGGAAUCGCUAGUAAUCGUGGAUCAGCAUGCCACGGUGAAUACGUUCCCGGGUCUUGUACACACCGCCCGUCACACCACGAAAGUCGACUGUACCAGAAGUUGCUGGGCUAACCUCUUUGAGGAAGCAGGUACCUAAGGUACGGCCGGUAAUUGGGGUGAAGUCAACAAGGUA